rnacentral:rRNA from 1 species
UACGAAGGGGGCUAGCGUUGUUCGGAAUUACUGGGCGUAAAGCGCGUGUAGGCGGGGCUUUUAGGCAGGGGGGAAAUGCCAAGGCUCAACCUUGGAACUGCCUUUGAUACUGGAGACCUUGAGUCCGGGAGAGGUGAGUGGAAUUGCGAGUGUAGAGGUGAAAUUCGUAGAUAUUCGCAAGAACACCAGUGGCGAAGGCGGCUCACUGGCCCGGAACUGACGCUGAGAUGCGAAAGCGUGGGGAGCAAACAGG